UGGGGUGGUUGCUAGGGUGUUGCUAUGCGGUUGCUAGGGUACUUUGGGUAGUUGCGAGGGUGUUGUUAUGCGGUUGUUAGGGCACUUAGGGUGGUUGCUAGGGUGUUGCUAUGUGGUUGCUAGGGUACCCGGGGUGGUUGCUAGAGUUUUGCUAUG